CACGUAGGGGCCAAGCGUUGUCCGGAUUUAUUGGGCGUAAAGAGCUCGUAGGCGGUUCGACAAGUCGGGUGUGAAAACUCCGGGCUCAACCCGGAGACGCCACCCGAUACUGUCGUGACUGGAGUCCGGUAGGGGAGUGGGGAAUUCCUGGUGUAGCGGUGAAAUGCGCAGAUAUCAGGAGGAACACCGGUGGCGAAGGCGGGUCUCUGGGCCGAUACUGACGCUGAGGAGCGAAAGCGUGGGGAGCAAACAGG
rnacentral:rRNA from 1 species